AAUAGAGUUAAGCACAAUGGUACCCCAGAUACUGGGGAAGUUGAGGCUAGUGGAUCUCCUGAGCUUGAGAGUUCUGAGCCGCAGUGGGCUAGGCCAUUUAGGUGCCCACAACAAGUUCAGUAUUUAUAUGGUGAGACCCCCAGAAGUGAAAGGCUACCAGAUUGCUUAAGGAGGGAUGAAUCAGCUCAAACAAGAAAUGAAGUAAGUCAGAGAUUUUGUGCUGAUUAGUAGUGGGAUUGGACUCAAGAGUAGCCUCUGUACUUCCAGCCUGGGUGAGAAAGGGAGACCCAGCCUCUA
rnacentral:SRP_RNA from 1 species